GAAACAAAUGAGGCAGCUUAGAAACAAGAGGAUGAUCAGAGCAACCCCAGUUCUACAGUAUCAUAGAAUAAGAACAGCCCAGAAGAAAGGCAAUAACAGGAAGGAAGGAAGGAAGGAAGGAAGGAAGGAAGGAAGGAAGGAAGGAAGGAAGGAAGGAAGGACCCUACUGAGGGCUGCAGAAUCAUGCAGCCUUUAAAAUUUCAGAUUGGUGACCCUUCCUAGACCCAACUGGUGCUUCUUAUUGUAUCUACACAUGAGUUUCAGCCCCAAAGAUGCUCCUUCUCCCCAGGAGCCAAACCUUCAAUUCUGGUUGAAUACUUCUGCACCCUUUCACUCUUUGUUCCUCAACAUCCUUCUUACAUUGGAUCACAAGCUAUUGAACGGGAUUGUGUGUGUGUUUG